AGAUUCCUUUGUGGUUGAGGUCUUCUGCUGAUGAAAUAGCAGAGAUGGGGGAGAGCUGCAGUGCCUGCAGGUGGCAGGAAUGCCACAAACCAGGAGAAAGCUGGGGUUUGGCUGUCAUCAGAAGAGGAUCUCGUGCACAGUGUAAGACAACGGACAGUACAGGUGAUGCACGGUGCAGAUUGCCAGCCCAGGCUGCUCAGAGCUCCCAUUUAAGGCAGCAGUGCUAGGUUAUAUUCUGACCUACACCCUUAUGCACCAUCCACCAGUGCUGCAUCCCACCCAUCCUGCUGGCUGAUGCUGAAAGGAAGAAGGCACGCUCGCAAGGGCUGGCAUCUCUUCAAAUCAGGGACUCCAGAAACCAUUGCCUCACUGAAGAAAUCACCAUCGUUAUUCUAAAUGGUUGGGUCAAUAUGAGGAUGUCACUUGGGAAAUUUGGGGUUUAUUGCUCCCCUUCCCACCAUCAACUCACUGGGAAUAAGCGAAGCAGGCAGGUAGAUCUUCACUAAGAGAGCUGCUGCAGUGGAGGUCAGGAGUGUGCAUGGAAAGGUGAAAAGCCCAUCGAGGUGGGGAGUGGAGAAAUGGGGGGCUGUGCUCCAUACACACAGGGCUUCCAGGUCUGAAACACCUUGAGAAGAAAAAGGUGAAUGGGGAAAAUCAGAGCUGAGGGAAACAGGCAUGAAAGCUGAGCCCGAAGAUGGAGGAAUUCAAUAGGACUGGUCCCAGUAAUGAUCCCUGAGGGACACCAGUGCCAUUGAUCUCCAUCCAUUGAGCGCUGCUCUCUGGUGGAAUCUCACAACAGUUCCUCAUCCAUUGAACAGUCUGCCCAUCAAAGCUGCACUUUUCCAAGUUAGAGAGAAGGAUGUCGUUGGGGCUGUGCCAAAUGCCUCACUGGAGCCCAAGCAGAUGACAUCAGUGGUUCUUCCAUUGCCUGUGGAUGCAGUUAUCCCAUCUGGUUGGAAAUUUUGGUUUCAAAUACUUCAAAUUGAACAUUUGGAGUUUUCAUACCAAGAUGACAGUUUUGGUCCAAAUUGAAUCAUACUGAUUUUAUAUAUAUAUAUAUAUAUAUUUAUGCUAGUAAGUAAACCCUCAGGGAAAUCUCUUCUGCUCCAAAUGUGGACUAAAGGAAAUUGACAAACUCCAAAUGCUUCUCGGGGCUUCGUUUCUUGCUGCUGUUUGAUUUGCUAUCACCAGUUUUGGAUAAAAAUGGGGUUUUAUUGGUUAUUUUGGUUAGAAAUGCUGGAAUGUUUCCUAGAGACAAGCCAGGCUCCAAGAAAUUUUCACCUGGGAGAUUAUUGUAGAGUUUAUUUUUAGGU